AUGCCCUUUCUUACAUAUCAUUUCUUUUUUUCUCCCACAAAUAACGUUCUCUCCCUCAGAUGUUCGCGGGCACCCAGAAUCCGGUGGGCUCACGACGGCCGGCGUGGCGGAGCUCCACUGGAACUCACAAAGGCGCACCACCAAACGCGUCAUACCACCCUCAACUCGAAUUUGGUCAUAAUUCUCACAAAAAAUACGCCUACAAAGCAAGAUCUAAAGAGGAGAAAUCUAACCCUAACUUCUUUAAAUCAACUUACAACUUCAGAACAACAGCAGAUCAACAAAUCAAAAGCAAAAACAUAA